AGAGUCCGACACGACUGAGCGACUUCACACACACACAAUCUUUAUAAUCUUUUUAAAAAAAUCUUCAGAUGUCAUCGUAUCUAAAAUCAGAGACCCAGGUUUUAAAAACAUAGUUGUUUGGAGUAUUGCUUGAAUCUGAUUAUAUAAUCCUUUGUGAUGAGGCUGAGUUAUAAGCUAUUACUUGAUAAACUGGAAAUAUUGCCUUGUUGUUUUCUUCGCUGGUCUCAGUUUUACUCAUGCAAAGACUUCUGAACAUCAAAGGAUUUGAAUUAUAAGGUUUAUGAUAAGCACAGGGACAUUAAAAUUAUAAAUUACAGGAGGUAGUCAAGAUAGAGUAGAAAAAAGAAUUGGGUCCUAAAAGUCGUAUAUGGGCCUCUCAUUUUAUGUAAGCUUCUUGUUAUCCAGAGUAUGAAAAGAAAACUCCACCAGUUAUUUGCAAUGCCUGUUGUUUAUGUAACAUUUUAUUGCUAAAUAUUAGCCAUUCUCUUUUCUUUAAAAAUUAUCCUACAUUUUUAAUUGAGAAUUUUAAGUAUGCUGUAAAUAUAAUUUUUUAUAUUUUUCUUCUAAGUUUCACAUAUGCAUAUAUACUUUUAUGCAGAAUCUCAGUUUUCUAAGAUACUUUAUGACCCAGAAAGUCUUGGAAACUUGGGCAUUUGAGCAGAAGAAAGGGCAGAGCUGGACUUUCCUAGUAGUCCAGUGGUUAAGACUCCGAGCUUCCAGUGCCUCCACUUAAGGCCAAGUGAGUUCAGUCCCUGAUUGCGGAACUAAGAUCCUACAUGCCUUGCUUGGCAUGGCCAGAAAAACAAACAAAAAAGAAGAUAGGGCAAGGCUGAUAGGGAAGUAUGUGACUAAACCUCUGAAGAAAGAUAAUAGUCAAUAAUGGCAAGGAAAUAAUGAGUAAAUGGGAAGGUAAAUGAAGAAGAGGAGGCAGAAAAAAAUUUAUUUGAUAACAGUGUUAUUUUUGGGGUGUGUGUGUAUGUGUAUGCAUAAAAGUUCCCACCAGACCGUCUCUGGGAGUGGAAGGGAGUUGGUAGCGGCAGCUGAGGCAGCGAGGAGGUUCCAGAAGCUCUCGGAUUCUCGCGGCAGAGUUAGGGAUUUAACUGCCACCAUGUCUAGCAAAAGAGCAAAGACCAAGACCACCAAGAAGCGCCCCCAGCGCGCGACCUCCAAUGUGUUCGCCAUGUUUGACCAGUCCCAGAUUCAGGAGUUUAAGGAGGCCUUCAACAUGAUCGACCAGAACAGGGACGGGUUCAUCGACAAGGAAGACUUGCAUGACAUGCUUGCUUCCCUGGGAAAAAAUCCAACUGAUGAGUAUCUGGAUGCCAUGAUGAAUGAGGCUCCAGGUCCCAUAAAUUUUACCAUGUUUCUCACGAUGUUUGGUGAAAAGUUAAAUGGCACAGAUCCAGAAGAUGUCAUCAGAAAUGCUUUUGCUUGCUUUGAUGAAGAAGCAACUGGAUAG